UACGGAGGGGGCUAGCGUUGUUCGGAAUCACUGGGCGUAAAGGGCGCGUAGGCGGCCUUGCAAGUCGGUUGGUGAAAGGCCCGGGGCUCAACCCCGGAGGUGCGGCCGAGACUGCAGGGCUGGAGGCCGGAAGAGGAGGGUGGAAUACCCAGUGUAGAGGUGAAAUUCGUAGAUAUUGGGUGGAACACCGGUGGCGAAAGCGGCUCUCUGGUCCGGACCUGACGCUGAGGCGCGAAAGCGUGGGGAGCAAACAGG
rnacentral:rRNA from 1 species